rnacentral:lncRNA from 1 species
CAGGCGCAGUGCGCGCAGGCGUGGGCAGCAGCGCAGCAGGCGCGCCAGGCAGUCGUCGGUAACGUGGCCGCAGCCCGAGAGCGUGACGGACGCCAGGUUGGGGCACCUGUGAGGAGAGUGCGGUGACCCGGGGCUCACUGGCUUGUUAAAGCUACCCAACCGCCCCAUGGGACCGAGUGGACUCAUUUACCGAGGAGGACUCGGGCCCUGCGAGGUCACUUCAUCCUGGCCCAGGUACUGCAGCUCCAAAUCGUGGGGAUUCUGUAAGAGCUUGCUACCUGUUGACUGAGGAGGCCCACGAGUUGAGAAGAACUAGCAAGAGUGGUACAAAACUGCAGGUCAUUGGGCUGGCCACCAGGUAUUCCCACCCACCAGAAGCUGGCUGUUGUACUCACCCGGAACCAUGGUGCACCACCACAGCGGCGAGGUCAUACAGGCAGCUCUCCGGGCCACUGUUCUCAGGCUACAGAACAAGGAAGAAGGAGCAGUGGUCAAUGACAUCAGUAUCUCGAUGACCUCUACCCUCUCCAUGUGAUGACAAUCUUACUGAAGAGCCAUUUUUUCACCAUGCUAAAAAGGUAACCACCUUACCUCUAGUAAGUAGCAUUUCAUGUCUAGGCCUCUCAGUGGAAAUUCUACGUAUGUAUCAACUUUAUUUCUUAAAUAUGCUGUCCAAUGAAAUCUUUUCAAAUGUAAGCAUAGCACCUGGAGGACAGAGAUGCGGUCAAAGAUUGUGAACACCUAAUUUACCUUUCAGUCAAAGUUUGAUACUACUAUCAGUUCAGUAAAUAACAUUUUAGCUGCCCUAUCAAUCAUUCUUCCAUGCAUACCUUAUGCAUUCAUUCUGUAAGGGGUUUAGCUUUUACUGAAAAUCCUAGAGAAAAAUACAGAACAGUUCACAUAGUGUAAAGUUAUAGACAUGGUCUUAGCAGUCAAGCACUUUCCCAUUGAAAUUGCUUCAUAACUCAAAAUUCAACACUCACCUUGGGUAGUUUUUGAAUCCAAAACUUUUUUGUGGACUUUUGUUUCUUUUUGCAUUUAUGGCACAUAUAUAACUCUGUCUCAUCAAGUUCUUCUAAGUCGGUAAAACUGCGAAGACAAUCUAAACAAAUUGAUUUUGGCAGCAUUAAAACAAGAUGCCUUUUGUAGAGGCAAUGUACUGUAGAAAAAAGACCCAGGUUUAAAAUCUCAGCUUUAUUAGCUAUACGACCUUAGAAAAGUUAACCUUUCUCAAUUGCAAACUGGAGACAAAAAAUAAUACCUACUUUGAAGAACUAUUAUAAGGAAGAGAAAUAAUGUGUAGAGCACCUGGCAUCAUGCCUGACAUCUGGUGAUGAUCAAUUGUGUUGGUUUUACUAUUAAUGAUAAUUCAUCUGGAUAAUUCUGAUAAAAUGGUUUCCUGAUGAAUUUAAAGUUUCAAUUGUAGUUUUCUGUCAAUAUGUUACAUUAUACAGGACAAAGCUCCAAACUCAUAAAAAAAAGUCAAAUUUAGAUAAUUUAAAAAUAAACAUAGAUCACAGAAGGCUACACUAUCAACCUUCUCUGUCCAGACGCUGUACUCUCAGUUCCUAGAUAAAUCACAGCUACAUUUUUUUUCAUUUAAAGAUGUAAUUGUGUAACCUGGGGUUUAGUAAACUACAGUCCUAAAACAUCCAGCCAGCCACCUGGUUUUGUAAAUAAAGUUUCAUUGGAACAGAGCCAUGCCCACUUGUUUACAUUAUUGUCUGGCUGCUUUUACACUACACCAAACUGAGUCACUGGGGCAGAGACCUUAUGUGGUGCAAAGCCUAAAACACUGUAAAUCUUCACUUAAUAUCAUGACAGGUUCUUGAAAAUUGUGACCUUAUGUGAAGCAACGAUAAACCACUUUUUUCUCAUCAAUGUUAUAACUAAACGUUAAAGGAAACUAUUAUUGGAGGACCUGCUGUAUGUCAUUUUGCUUUAAACUUGCAGUUUCCAAGAACCUACUGAUGACAUUAAAUGAAGACUUACUGUAUUUACUCUUUGGCCCCUGUGCCAAUUCCUGAUGCAAUCAGAUAUUCAUAAAUCUAUAUAAAAUACACGUUAUUCUGUAGAAAAAAUAUGAAUGCCUAUGGACCCCACACUUGGAUUUUCUCGAGUACUCAAGGAGCCAGGGUCUCUGUGCACGGCCUCUCCUAGAGUUGUGCAGUGGACAACCUGUGUGGCCAUGUGCUUCUUACCAAAGAUAAUUCCCCUUCCUCUGCCCAGAAGUAGCCAUUAUCCUGACUUUUAUGUCAUUUGUCUUUAUAGAACA